AGAGUUUGAUCCUGGCUCAGGAUGAACGCUGGCGGCGUGCCUAACACAUGCAAGUCGAACGAAGCACCUUACCUGAUUCUUCGGAUGAAAGUCUGGUGACUGAGUGGCGGACGGGUGAGUAACGCGUGGGUAACCUGCCCUGUACAGGGGGAUAACAGUUGGAAACCGCUGCUAAUACCGCAUCAGCGCACUAGAGGACAUCCUCUUGUGUGAAAAACUCCGGUGGUACAGGAUGGGCCCGCGUUUGAUUAGCUGGUUGGCAGGUUAACGGCCUACCAAGGCGACGAUCAGUAGCCGGUCUGAGAGGAUGAACGGCCACAUUGGAACUGAGACACGGUCCAAACUCCUACGGGAGGCAGCAGUGGGGAAUAUUGCACAAUGGGGGAAACCCUGAUGCAGCAACGCCGCGUGAGUGAAGAAGUAUUUCGGUAUGUAAAGCUCUAUCAGCAGGGAAGAUAAUGACGGUACCUGACUAAGAAGCUCCGGCUAAAUACGUGCCAGCAGCCGCGGUAAUACGUAUGGAGCAAGCGUUAUCCGGAUUUACUGGGUGUAAAGGGUGCGUAGGUGGCAGUGCAAGUCAGAUGUGAAAGGCCGGGGCUCAACCCCGGAGCUGCAUUUGAAACUGCAUAGCUAGAGUACAGGAGAGGCAGGCGGAAUUCCUAGUGUAGCGGUGAAAUGCGUAGAUAUUAGGAGGAACACCAGUGGCGAAGGCGGCCUGCUGGACUGUUACUGACACUGAGGCACGAAAGCGUGGGGAGCAAACAAGAUUAGAUACCCUGGUAGUCCACGCCGUAAA
rnacentral:rRNA from 1 species